UAUUCGUAGCAUAAUCGUCCCAUUUCCGCCCGUUUGAAUAUCUCUGUUUGUUCGCCACGCUUCUCGUCGCAAACACAGCACGGGUCUCAACAGUUCCACCAACGAAGCUUUUCUAUACUUUCUUUUUUCUCGUUCCGAAACUUCUUCGAUAGUUUGAACGAGCUUGAAACUGACAUUGCAUCAAUCGAUUAGGGAAUAAUUUAAAUCUACUUACGAUCACGAUCGAUGACCGCUUAGUCGAUGUUAGAAAUUGAGCAAACAAUCAAUUGAACGGGAUCGUCGAUAAUUUGAAUUAUCCACUAAUCGAUCGAUCGCGCAAUCCCAAUCGCAACGCGAUCCAUAAUAUUCGUUAUUAAUGUCGAUAAGGAAAAGCCUCCAUUAAUAUGUAUAUAUAUCACUCAUCUACUGUAACAAUGACAUAACAUAAAAAUUAUGAUCUUAGAAAAAAACUUAGUUUGAAUGUAUCGAAUCGUUGUAACUUUGUUAAGACCAUAUCUCUAUGGUUAAAAUAUGACGUUAAAAUUCAUUGAAUGAGCGAUAUAUCGAUAAUCGACGACAACCAUUAGAUAUCGAUAUACGAUAACAUAAAAAAUGCAUCAAUUGAAAAUUAAUAUCAUUCGUGUCUUAAAACAUUCAGAACAGGAAGCAUCGUUAAUUAUAAAAUAAUAGAGGGUUAAUUUAAAAGUUAAACGUAUUCAAAUGGUAUUCGAAUCGUAUCUCUAACCUAACCCUAUUAUCUCGCUUUCUGGCGAGUUAUAUAACAAUGUCGAGAGAACAAUGGAUUUGAAAUGCAAAUAAAAACAGAGGUAGAAAACGUUGUUCGGUCGAGGAGAUCGAUUGUUUACUGGCAGUUCGAUUCCAUGUGAAUCUCGUGAUUACAGAACGAGAUAAUGGUUAGGAGAUGAACGAUUAGAACAAUGAUCUUGCAUCAUGUAUGAAUCAUCGGUGAAGCAUCAGCGAUUUACGUCACGACGGUCCCUGUUACUUAUCUGAUCGGGAAAAUCUAUUACCUCUGUUUCAUAUACGACAUACCUCUACUACUUGCAUCGCCUGUCCGAUCCAAUUCUAUACUACUUCCCCGGUUAAUUAUCAAACGUGCGAUAGUCUCGAUAUACGAGAUCGCGAAAUCGAUUUAAAUGAUAAGAAAUGCAUUAACGUAGUAUCUAGGCUGUUUCGAUAUUGAAACACACGGAAAUUGAACUGACCAACUCUAUCGAAAUUUACAGGACUAGCAAUUCGGAGCUUUUCUGAUGAAACAUCGAUCACAUUUUUUACAACAAACAUAAAUGGAAAUCGUACAUAAGUGAACGAAAAUUAGAAGAUGAGGUUAUUUUGCCAGAAAGGAAAUUGCCCUCGCUUACGUAAUAUACGUAAUACGUAAUUCUCUUAAGGUAUUUCUCUUAGUUGUAAACAGAGAAUAGUAUACUUUUGUUAAUUUUCAUUCAGAUACAUUAAGAUCUCUACGAUAAUACGGAUUCGCAUAACUCGACAUAUUUUUCGAAUGUAACUAUAUCGUGUUAUACGAGGGUACCUGUAUUCCGUCUUUGAAACCUUAAAUGCAAAUGUAAUAUUGAGAACGUAUAUUGUCUUUAAAACCUUAAAUGCAAAUGUAUAUAUCAUAAAUGUAUAUUGAUAAAAAUUCGUUGGAAUUGAUCAA